AUCUUCUGGCGGCUUCCAGAUGUACUGCUCCCCGUUGCCCAUGAACACGGCCUCCUAGUAAACAAUCAAUCAAUUGGAGAGUUUGGGUAGGUACACAGUGACCAUGUUGCACAGUGCGGGCGGAUUGUGCAUGUGUGUGCAUGCAUGACAGAGAGAGAGAGAGAGAGAGAGAGUGCAUCACACAUUUGUUAUGAAGGGUAGCUUUCAUGUCAAGAUUCAAACAAAUGAAUCAGCAAGUGGCACCGUCAAAAAGAGAGUGGGCGUUGGAAAUUAUCCCUGCAGCCAGCUCCUAACUGGAAUCAGAUGCUACUGACAUCUUAUUGCAUUUCAUUUGUUGCCACAGCUUUAUGUUUUUGUUGCUAUUAAGAGUUUUCUUUCAAAUUGAACUUUAUAUCUUUUGAAAAAUAACUGCUAUACAAAAUUAAAUACUACUUUAAUUACUGUAUGUCUUAUGUCAAGGAAUGUCAGCUCAGUUUGAAUUUUCAGCAACAGUUAAUCAGUUCCUCCUUGCUUUGAGACCAACUUUUCCACAAGGUUUUAUGCAAAUCUGUUUCGUCAAAGAUAAACUUCUGACAGGCAGGCAGUUUCACUGACAUGGAGACAGUGCUGCAAAAACAACCCGAUCUGACUCUUCUAGUAGAGGUAAUUGUGGCAACAUUCAAGGGGAGGUAAUAGAAAUCUGUGUCAAAAAAAUGACAAAACCUCAUCAAACUUGAAUUGCUGCAUUUCACAAAUACUGAAGAAUGAUUUAAAGGUUACAUACUGUUCAGUUAAGCUAAAGUUAAACUACUGUAUUUGCAUAUCAGCUUAUUAUUAGGUCAAUGUGAUCCUUUCCUGAAAAACAAGAUAAACCUGGUCUCCAAGAAAUAAACUUCAUAAUAAACAAUAAACAAACAACUGACUGCAACUUGUUAAAUUUUAUCACUGCUGGUGAUCAAAACCAAUUAGAAACCAAUUAGAAAGCAUGUAGUGGUGUGUGCACAUGCGACCGAGGAUGAUUAAACUUUUAUACGCUCCUCCUGUGCAGUGAGUAAUAGAAGCCGGGGCAGAGUAAAUGGCUUCAAUAUGUGAACAUUAUUUAUCCCCUCACUGGCUGCUGGCUACCUGUUAGCUGUUUCUAGAUAGACUUGCUGAU